rnacentral:rRNA from 1 species
GAGUUUGAUCAUGGCUCAGAGCGAACGCUGGCGGCAGGCUUAGCACAUGCAAGUCGAACGGGCGUAGCAAUACGUCAGUGGCAGACGGGUGAGUAACGCGUGGGAACAUACCUCUUGGUUCGGAACAACACAGGGAAACUUGUGCUAAUACCGGAUAAGCCCUUACGGGGAAAGAUUUAUCGCCGAGAGAUUGGCCCGCGUCUGAUUAGCUAGUUGGUGGGGUAAAGGCCUACCAAGGCGACGAUCAGUAGCUGGUCUGAGAGGAUGAUCAGCCACAUUGGGACUGAGACACGGCCCAAACUCCUACGGGAGGCAGCAGUGGGGAAUAUUGGACAAUGGGCGCAAGCCUGAUCCAGCCAUGCCGCGUGAGUGAUGAAGGCCCUAGGGUUGUAAAGCUCUUUUGUACGGGAAGAUAAUGACGGUACCGUAAGAAUAAGCCCCGGCUAACUUCGUGCCAGCAGCCGCGGUAAUACGAAGGGGGCUAGCGUUGCUCGGAAUCACUGGGCGUAAAGGGUGCGUAGGCGGGUUUUUAAGUCAGAGGUGAAAUCCUGGAGCUCAACUCCAGAACCGCCUUUGAUACUGAAAGUCUUGAGUAUGGGAGAGGUGAGUGGAACUGCGAGUGUAGAGGUGAAAUUCGUAGAUAUUCGCAAGAACACCAGUGGCGAAGGCGGCUCACUGGCCCAUAACUGACGCUGAGGCACGAAAGCGUGGGGAGCAAACAGGAUUAGAUACCCUGGUAGUCCACGCCGUAAACGAUGAAUGCCAGCCGUUAGUGGGUUUACUCACUAGUGGCGCAGCUAACGCUUUAAGCAUUCCGCCUUGGGAGUACGGUCGCAAGAUUAAAACUCAAAGGAAUUGACGGGGGCCCGCACAAGCGGUGGAGCAUGUGGUUUAAUUCGACGCAACGCGCAGAACCUUACCAGCCCUUGACAUGUCUAUGACCGGUACCAGAGAUGGAACCUUCCCUUCGGGGCAUAGAGCACAGGUGCUGCGUGGCUGUCGUCAGCUCGUGUCGUGAGAUGUUGGGUUAAGUCCCGCAACGAGCGCAACCCCCGUCCUUAGUUGCUACCAUUUAGUUGGGCACUCUAAGGAGACUGCCGGUGAUAAGCCGCGAGGAAGGUGGGGAUGACGUCAAGUCCUCAUGGCCCUUACGGGCUGGGCUACACACGUGCUACAAUGGCGGUGACAAUGGGAUGCAAAAGGGCGACCUCUCGCAAAUCUCAAAAAGCCGUCUCAGUUCGGAUUGGGCUCUGCAACUCGAGCCCAUGAAGUUGGAAUCGCUAGUAAUCGUGGAUCAGCAUGCCACGGUGAAUACGUUCCCGGGCCUUGUACACACCGCCCGUCACACCAUGGGAGUUGGUUCUACCUGAAGGCAGUGCGCUAACCGCAAGGGGGCAGCUGACCACGGUAGGGUCAGCGACUGGGGUGAAGUCGUAACAAGGU